UACGUAGGGGGCAAGCGUUGUCCGGAAUUAUUGGGCGUAAAGAGCGCGUAGGCGGUCUGUCGCGUCGGCUGUGAAAACCCGGAGCUCAACUCCGGGCCUGCAGUCGAUACGGGCAGACUGGAGUUCGGCAGGGGAGACUGGAAUUCCUGGUGUAGCGGUGAAAUGCGCAGAUAUCAGGAGGAACACCGGUGGCGAAGGCGGGUCUCUGGGCCGAUACUGACGCUGAGGAGCGAAAGCGUGGGGAGCGAACAGG
rnacentral:rRNA from 1 species